UCUUUUUUUCUUCUUCUUUAAACAGGUUAAUAUUGUGGAAGGGUGGCUAGAAUAUAUCAGACCACAAGCACAAGAGUUCUUAGAAACUAAAACAAUACCAAAACUUGUGAAGCAAAAAGAAGGGCCCCCUACACCUGCACAGGUUGAUUUGUCCCCAAAUGAAGAACUCACUCUAAAUUGGAUUCUGCAAAAUCCAUAUCAGUUUCCAUUUGAGGAUGACACAGAAUGUGCUCAACAAAAUUCGUCUUCGUUGGAUUGCGGCAUGUUCGUCAUGUUCUACAUGGAUAAAAUAGCACAAGGACAGCCCAUUCCAAAAAAUGUGGACAAGAAUUUCAUGAAUGAAUAUCGAGCACAAUAUGUCACAAAACUCCUACACCACAAACACUGUGUAAUUAAUCGUCUCUAGUGAUUUGCCUUUCGUUAACUCAAGACAAUAUGUAUCUUAAUUCUUGUGGAUGUUUGUAAAUAUUUCUAGUUA